rnacentral:rRNA from 1 species
UACGUAGGUGGCAAGCGUUGUCCGGAAUUAUUGGGCGUAAAGCGCGCGCAGGCGGUCCUUUAAGUCUGAUGUGAAAGCCCACGGCUCAACCGUGGAGGGUCAUUGGAAACUGGGGGACUUGAGUACAGAAGAGGAAAGCGGAAUUCCACGUGUAGCGGUGAAAUGCGUAGAUAUCGUCUGGAACGCCGAAGGUGAAAACAGCUCGCUGGGGCUGCGCUGACGCUGAGACACGAAAGCCAGGGGAGCGAACGGG